GCCAGUGUGGCUUAGUGGUUUGAGUGCUAGACUACAACUCUAGAGACUCGGGUUCAAAUCCCAGCUCAGCUA